CCAAUGUUUAACCAUUCGUUUUAUUUGAAAUUUUUUGACGAUUAAUAUUUUUAUUGUUACUAGAUGAUAAAAUAUGAAUAUUACUUUAAAAGUGACUAAUUUUUAAAAGUUUUUUAACAAAAUUUUCAAAUAAGACGAAUAGUCAAACGUUGGCG
rnacentral:pre_miRNA from 1 species